rnacentral:lncRNA from 1 species
GGCAACGCCUGUGCAGUAACCGUUACUGCUUGAUGACCCCCAAACCAGGUCCUGCAAAGCUACCCCCUACUCUCUCAACAGUCUUAGGCCCACCUGCACCCAGGUGAAAUAAACAGCCUUGUUGCUCACACAAAGCGUGUUGCUGGACUCUCUUCACAUGGACGUGCGUGACAUUUGGUGCCGAAACCUGGGACAGGAGGACUCCUUCGGGAGACCAGUCCCCUGUCCUCACCCUCUGUGAGGAGAUCCACCUAUGACCUCAGGUCCUCAGACCAACUAACCCAAGGAACAUCUCACCAAAUUCAAAUCGGAUCUUCUCGGCUUAGCGGCUGAAGACUGACGCUGUCCGAUCGCCUCAAAAACCUCCUGGACCAUCCCGGAUGCUUUGGGUAACUCUUACAGUGGAGGACAGGAAUGUCAGGCCUCUGAGCCCAACUAAGCCAUCA